rnacentral:rRNA from 1 species
AGUGAACGCUGGCGGUAGGCCUAACACAUGCAAGUCGAACGGCAGCACAGUAAGAGCUUGCUCUUACGGGUGGCGAGUGGCGGACGGGUGAGGAAUACAUCGGAAUCUACUUUUUCGUGGGGGAUAACGUAGGGAAACUUACGCUAAUACCGCAUACGACCUACGGGUGAAAGCAGGGGAUCUUCGGACCUUGCGCGAUUGAAUGAGCCGAUGUCGGAUUAGCUAGUUGGCGGGGUAAAGGCCCACCCAGGCGACGAUCCGUAGCUGGUCUGAGAGGAUGGUCAGCCACACUGGAACUGAGACACGGUCCAGACUCCUACGGGAGGCAGCAGUGGGGAAUAUUGGACAAUGGGCGCAAGCCUGAUCCAGCCAUACCGCGUGGGUGAAGAAGGCCUUCGGGUUGUAAAGCCCUUUUGUUGGGAAAGAAAAGCAGCAGGUUAAUACCCCGCUGUUCUGACGGUACCCAAAGAAUAAGCACCGGCUAACUUCGUG